rnacentral:rRNA from 1 species
CCUACGGGUGGCAGCAGUGAGGAAUAUUGGUCAAUGGACGCGAGCCUGAACCAGCCACGUCGCGUGAUGGAUGACUGCCCUAUGGGUUUUAAACUUCUUUUAUAAAGGCGUAAAACGAGGCACGCGUGCCUUUUUGCAUGUACUUUAUGAAUAAGGAUCGGCUAACUCCGUGCCAGCAGCCGCGGUAAUACGGAGGAUCCGAGCGUUAUCCGGAUUUAUUGGGUUUAAAGGGAGCGUAGAUGGGUUGUUAAGUCAGUUGUGAAAGUUUGCGGUUCAACCGUAAAAUUGCAAUUGAUACUGGCAGUCUUGAGUACAGUUGAGGUAGGCGGAAUUCGUGGUGUAGCGGUGAAAUGCUUAGAUAUCACGAAGAACCCCGAUUGCGAAGGCAGCUUACUAAACUGUGACUGACAUUGAUGCUCGAAAGUGUGGGUAUCAAACAGGAUUAGAUACCCUUGUAGUC